rnacentral:rRNA from 1 species
UACGGGGGAGCAAGCGUUGUUCGGAUUUACUGGGCGUAAAGGGCGCGUAGGCGGCCAGCACAAGUCAGUUGUGAAAUCUCCGGGCUUAACUCGGAAAGGUCAACUGAUACUGUGCGGCUAGAGUGCAGAAGGGGCAACUGGAAUUCUCGGUGUAGCGGAUGAAAUGCGUAGAUAUCGAGAGGAACACCUGCGGCGAAGGCGGGUUGCUGGGCUGACACUGACGCUGAUGCGCGAAAGCCAGGGGAGCGAAACGGG